AAUGAUGCAUUGAGAAUAGUAUGUGGAUUGACUGAUGACCAAAUCUCAUUGGUCAUUAAUAUAUGAGAUAUUAAGUCAAUGCAUAGGUACAUGUUAGAGAACGAUGUACUGGACAGACCCACCAUGCGAAUUCUAUAUGGAGCAUUAUGCGAAGUGUCAUUAGCAAUUCUCAUAGUGACAAUGAUGUAAUGGUCCUCCGACCUGAAAUCACUAUAUUACUACACCGGAAUUUAUAUACUUUGAUAUCAUCAAAUGUCACCUUUAAUAGGGUGGAUUAUAAAUGUGAUUAUUGGGUACAUCAUGAAUCGUGUGAGGAAUAUGAGUGAUCUAGAUGGAAUUUAACCUUCCUAUAUAUUAGGGGUGAUAUCCAUAGGC
rnacentral:lncRNA from 1 species